rfam:Cricetulus griseus cell line CHO-K1, whole genome shotgun sequence.
GGAUAUGAAGGCAAUUUGUGACAUCAGCCAAUUAGUCACCAAAGUUGAUUCAGCUGAUCUGGCUAACUAGAUAUGUGUACCUGUUUUCUCCAACUAUCCAUGUGCACAUCUCCCACAUUUUUAUGUUCUGUCAAGAAGCACAACCUUCCUUGACAGAGAACAAUAUAUAAGUAGCCCGCUCCUUCUGUUGUAACCUCCAAGUAAGUUAAUCAUAUGAGAAAAGGCAAAAUGUGUAUUUUCUUUCAUUAUCUAAUCCGUGACUAGAGCCUAAAUACUAGUAUUGGCUUAUAGU